UUUUUCCUUUAUGUGUGAAACAACUGCAUCAAAAAAAACCAAAAUAUUUUAGAUUUUACUUUCAGUGUUUUACUCCCUAGUGGGGUUUCCUUUAAUUUGAAUUUUUGUUGGGAUGUGGUUUUGUGGGGGUUUUGAGACUACUAUGGUUUUUUUUUGUAGCUGUUCUCUUGGUGUUCAUGGAAACACCUACUGCCAUGUGACACUAGGACUGUGCCUUCUGUCACUGCCUUCUGCUCAGCAGCUCACCCAGCACAGCUGCUUCAGGUCAAAGGGGAAAAUCCACAGUUGACUCAGCUGAACUGAAAGGUGAAGAGCACAGAUGGACUUGUCCUGCUCCUGAGGACAGUUCAAACAGGUGCCUGUUCGAGCUCGUGACGCCCUGAACUGUAAUAAUUAACUUUGGUAGUUUCAAAAUUGAUCACCCUAUGCUUAAAGUUUUGCCACCAACUCCAAAGGGCAGCAGAGCCUAUUCUGUUUGUUAAUAAAACAGCCGGCAUCAGGCUCAUAGGUGGCGACAGGAAUGUUCACAGCUUGGCUUUGACUACUCAAAUAGUCAUUGUUUUCCUUAAGCUGCUAUCAUUCUCACUUAGGAAGAGUGUUCUUAAGGUUUUUACAGAUGCCCACUUAAUUGUAAAUUGGACAUUUAAACUUCUGGAACUUUUUAAAAUGAGAAAGAUUGCUGACUCUUAAAAGUUACAGGAAACGAUUUUCAUCAGAAAACUUCAAACCAAGUAAUGUAGACACGGUGGUGUCUUACAGUCCUCUAAACAAGGUGCUUCCGCCCACGCUGGCCAGCCUG